UACGUAGGUGGCAAGCGUUGUCCGGAUUUAUUGGGCGUAAAGCGCGCGCAGGCGGUCCUUUAAGUCUGAUGUGAAAGCCCACGGCUCAACCGUGGAAGGUCAUUGGAAACUGGGUCACUUGAAUAUAGAAGAGGAAAGUGGAAUUCCAUGUGUAGCGGUGAAAUGCGUAGAUAUAUGGAGGAACACCAGUGGCGAAGGCGACUUUCUGGUCUAUUAUUGACGCUGAGGCUCGAAAGCAUGGGUAGCAAACAGGAUUAGAUA
rnacentral:rRNA from 1 species